CCUACGGGAGGCAGCAGUAGGGAAUAUUGCUCAAUGGGGGAAACCCUGAAGCAGCAACGCCGCGUGGAGGAUGAAGGUUUUCGGAUUGUAAACCCCUUUUGUUCGGGAAGAUAAUGACGGUAUCUAACGAAUAAGCACCGGCUAACUCCGUGCCAGCAGCCGCGGUAAAACGGAGGGUGCACGGGGUACUCGGAAUUACUGGGCGUAAAGGGCGCGUAGGCGGGAUAGCAAGUCAGAUGUGAAAUCCUAGGGCUUAACCAUAGAACUGCAUUUGAAACUGUUGUUCUAGAGUAUGGGAGAGGUAGGUGGAAUGCUUGGUGUAGGGGUAAAAUCCGUAGAUAUCAAGAGGAAUACUCAUUGCGAAGGCGACCUGCUAGAACAUAACUGACGCUGAGGCGCGAAAGCGUGGGGAGCGAACAGGAUUAGAUACCCCAGUAGUC
rnacentral:rRNA from 1 species